AAAAACUAUUUGCAGUCCUCAUUCCCUCUUCAAUUCGUUCCAGUUCAUCUCUCUUUUUCUCUAACUAUUAAGUUUGCACAAUUCUCAAACCUUCACCAAAUUUCUCUCAAUUUUGGCUAGACCCAACGAAAUUAGCAAGGAAUUGAAGUGUUGUACUGACUUGAAGAAGAACUGAAGCACAUAGCAAUAAAAGGAUUUCUAUAAUUGAUCAUCAAAGCUAGAAUUUCAACAAGAACAUUAAGUAAGCAAGGUAAGCCAUAUGUUCAUGCUAUAUUUAUAUAAAGUUAGUAAAUAGAUAUGUGAAUGAUGAUAAAACUGCUAUGUUGGUUUUGGUUGAGCUGUGUUUGGUUAAGGGAGUUUAUGCAGGUCAUUAGGAAUUAUAAGGAAAAUUUUUUUUGGGCUAAAACCAUGUACAAACGUGUGAAACUUGUUUCUAAAACUGAUGCACAUAUGGUGUUUGCUUUAAGGCCUCUUAGAGACUAAUAAGCUUAAAUUGGACAACUAGUGGACUAUUUUGGACAAAUUUGUGUUGUGCUCUGAAACUGAAAAAUUAAGUUCUGGGAUAAUGUGUGGUACUCUUAUGAGUUAUGAACACAACCCAAUUGGAACGAGGGAAAAAUCCGUUGUAACGAAAUCUUGACGGAUUUCUUAGUAAAACAUGUAAAACAAAUUAGUUAAAACUGUUUUAGGGGGCUGUUCUUGAGCCAAAGUUUAUGAGGGUAUAGAAUUGAAAAUUUAUGUUUUAUAAUGGUGGGUUGUGCUCCUACGAGUUCUGGAAAUAAUCCAAUUGGAAUGAAUCAAAAAGGAGCUAAUACGAAUUAAUAGUAAAGGCUUUAGUAAAACAUGUUAGAAACCGAAAAAAAUUGUGAACUGCUGACCCUAAGGACAAAUUUGGGGCUAGCUAGAGUUUCCAGAAAAUUUUGGGCUUUUGGGGUAUUAUAGUACGUUGAAUAAGCUUUCCAUAGACUCCGAAACGGAAUAAUUCCGACUUCGGAGGAGGGAGUUAUGGCAUUCCAAAGUGGGUGUGUCGAAUCUGUCCAAAAUUUAGAAAUCAGGUUUGAACCUGUCCCUUGCACGGAUUUUCUGGAAUUAUGGGUGCAGAACAUGGAAAAGUUUAUUGAAUAAGAGUUGUAGCCCCGGAAGUUAGCUUCGCGUGGGCGCAAGAAUCACUCAAAAAUGUUUUAAAAUGAAUUAGUUAUGACUAUUUUAGCGAGAGAGGGUAAAGCUGGAAAAAAUUAAAAACUAGUGUGUCAAGCCAGUUUUGGAGUCUGUUUUGAGCAGCUUAAAGAGUCUGAAAUGGGGGACUCGUAUUUUUUAAAAAUAGCCUUCUAUGGAAUCUAAAUCAUAUUAAAAUUUGGUAGCUAUCCGACGUGCGAGCUGGACAUAAUAAAAUCGCAAAGGGGUUGUGUUAGUCAUGAAGAUUGCAAGGCAGCCCAUCAGCAGCUAUGUGCAGGUGCGCGCGCCCGGUGCUACGCCGUGCUGCUGCAAUUUGCUGGGAUUGUUUUAGCUUGUUCUUUCGUUGUUUAGUUGCUCAAAUCACACAGUCAGUAUUUUUCUAAAAUAGGUGGGUAUACCACCUAUAUUACAUCCAAACUUCAAUAUAAACGGAUCAUUAACGGAGGAUAGAAAUUAGCGAAACGAGAGUCAAGAAGGAGGGAGCUGCUGCCCAACGGCAGCAGCAGUCAGCUGUAACACAUCAGUUGUGGCUAUUUGAUGAGCUAUUUUGGCUUUUGCGAUUUAAGUGGAUAAAUCAUCCAUCAAUUUUAGUUUCUAAAUUCCUAAAGAAACAAGUACAUGAGUUAUAAAGUAUUUACAAUUCAAUACAAUUGAGUUGGUAGUUUAGAAGAUAAAAAAAUUAGUAAAGGUAGGUGUCGUGAGCUUGGGGCUGCCCAAUCAAGUAAGGCUUGGUUGUCGGCAUUAUUGGGUCAAUGGGCUGUUUCGGCGUUCCAAUGAAACGUGGUGGUUUUUAAUGCGAUAGUUUAUGGAAAUGAGUCUAUAAAAUAGUAUGGAAGCUAUAAUUUAUCUAUAUAGACUAUAUCUAUGCUCAAAGUAUAAAGGAAACUACAAGUUCACUUUAUAUACUUAGAAUAUGUAUAAAAGUGCGAGAUAACUAUGUAAUAAAUUACAAAUGGUUUAUAAACCAAAAUCAUAGAAUAUUUGAAAGCCAUGUCAAAGACUAUUAAGCGAUAAAUGACUAUCGUAAGUAAAAGAAUAAAAGUUUUUGAAGAGAAUAUAAGAGUUUUUCAAAAACAAGAAUGAAAGCUAUUGAUAUGGCCAAUAUGGAAAUGUAAUAUAUAUAACUAUACAGGUUAUAUGACAUGGACGCACAACUAAUAUGUUUUUAUAUGUAAUUAUAAUUAUUAAAAGUUGGAAAAAGAAGUUAGGCAUGUCCUGAUGCCCCAAGACAGAUAUAAAACACAGUCUAACAAUCAUAUGACAAGUAUAUGCAUUCAGAGCAUUCCAAAAUCUAUAAAAAUGAUGUGUAAACAUGAGUUUACAUAUAUAUGGAUAAUAUAUCCAUAUAACAGGAAUACGUGGACAGUGUGCAAAGUUAUUUUAAAAUUGUACUUGAAACUAAACAGUUUUCAAAAUACAAGGUGAGGAUUAUGCAAACGGAGUUGAAAACUCAACUUUUGAUAUAAAUAAGCUAUGUGUAGGUAAAAGACAUACACAUAGCAUAUGUCUACCUACAAGCCAAGUAAAUGAGGCAAGGUUUGACAUUAUAAGAGAGGCGUAUAUGCAAAAGCAUAUAUAUACCUCAUGUGUACAUGAAAGGGGGGAAAAGUAAUGUAUUAUGAAUGCAUUAAGCCUAGAAAACUAAUAUUCGUGUGGAAUAGCAUUUAAAUUACUCACAAAAGCGGAAAUAAGCCAUAAUUACGCAAAGUAAAGGCACAGAUGCACUAUAUGAUAACAAGUCUACAUAUAUAUACGUGUAAAGUCUGUAAAUACUUUUAAAAAGGGUUAUAAAUUGUAAAUGUAAUGAAUUGACAUUUUAAAAGUUGUGUUAGAACUUUUUGAGAAUGUAUGGCUAUAUUAAGCCGAAACCUAAAAUAUUUUAAAGGAAUAUGUAAGUCUCCCGGAAAUAAGAAUAUCAAAUAUUGAUAUAGUUUUUGUGAAUGUUUGUUAUCUAUACAGGUUAUGGGAUAUGAAUGUGUGACUAAUGUAUGCAUACAUGUGAACAUAACUGUGUAGGAUUCGUGAAGUGAAGUUAAACU
rnacentral:lncRNA from 1 species